GAAUCCAUAUAUAGUAUAGUGGUAUAUAUAUAAAACAUAGGAUUUCUCUUUGAUUUUGUACAUAAAGAAACAUAUAUUAUGAACACAUACAACAAUUUUUAAGAAUCGAUCCUCAUACAAAUCAAUGAAUCGAUAGGUACACAACGACAGUCACUACCGCCGCACACAAAACUCUUACCCGGCGACCUUUUCUCCGGCGAUUGUCCUCAACCGCCAACCGUUCCGGUGAUGCUGUUUACAUCGGCGUUUAACCGGUUAAGUUUCUACUCAUCUCCAGUUUCGAGUCGAGUCUACAGCCGUCCGUCAUCUCCGACACGUGUGAACCUUCACGGGCUCGCUCCGGUGACGUCAUCAUCGGUGAAGUUUUCGUUAGCGAGUAGAUCUGGAUCUCCGAAUAGAUCUGCGACGGUGAGUUCUCGAGAAAAGUUGGGACUUCGAGGGCAGUUCAGGGUAAGAAAACAUGGUGUGUUGCAAAGCCAUCAUCGAGUCAAUCGGAACUGUUAGAUAUUGUAAAUUUCACGUGCUCGCAAAUUGAUUGUAGGAUCUUGGAGAAAGGUGGUGCAUGCUUUUUGCCUGAUAACCUAAUUAACCAUGCAUCCAUAGCUAUGAACAUUUAUUAUCAGUGCAAGGGAAGAAACCCAUGGAAUUGUCAUUUUGGUAACUCUGGUCUCAUCACUCUCACUGACCCAAGUUAUGGAGGUUGCCCAUAUGCGUAAAUGACUAGGAAGAAGAAGAUGUUGUAGCAUGAGAACCUGUUAAGACCAAAGUUAAUUGUUAUGUAGGUUCAUAUAAUUCAAGAUAGUUCAAUAAUAAAGCAUUAUUUUU